GGGGAUAUAACUGGAACUCUGGGAAUGUAACGUGCAUGGUGUGCUUGUCUGACAGACAGGGCAGCUGAGGGGAAUAAGUCUCUGCAGCGUUGUAGUGAAGAGAGAAUACGGGACAACUGCAGGACCACAGCUCAGCCAAGAGCUCCCUUGCAGCUGAGUUGGCCAUAUGACUGACAGCAAGCCCUGGAAUGCAGCCAGAAGUGAUGGAAGCCUCUUUCACACCAUGCUCCUAAAAUAUUCCAAGAAAUUUUCCAAACCCACUCUUUUUAGUCUGUGCAUCUGGAAGUGAAAGUUUUAGAAAGGGUAAAGUCACUUAAUGGAAAGGGCCCAGAUCUAGCCCCUCGGAGCCAAGCUGUUCAACUAGAAAUUCUGCAUUAGUAUUUGCGGGUUGGCCCAACACUCAUGAAAUGCAGAUGUGAAUGAUUUUUGACUGGCAGAUUUCAAAAUGAAUAUGCAGCCACUACAACUUUUAUAUAACUUUAAAAUUCUGGAAGAGGAAUGCAAGACUCUGUCCAAAUUGUGUGUUUGGGGCAAUGAGAAUAUUAUAUGUACAGUCCAAAAUAUAUUUCCAAAUACAGGUAAACAAAGGCUAUUUUGAUUCUGUUUUAAGGUCGCAAAUAGUCUGUCAUGGAGUUUAGAUUGUGAGUCUCCCUGCUAGAAGAUGGGUCGCAAUUGGAAGAGUGCUUUAUAUUCCCCGCGCCACUGCCAAAUGAUCCUAGAGGUUAACAGAAAACAGCAAUGGGGCUUCCAAGGACAAGGACUGAAUUAUAUACUUUGUAAGACUAGGAAUGAAGAGAACAUUGUAUUCUUCAAACAAAGUAACAGCUAGACAGACAGGCAAAAGAACGAAGAAUCUGGCCUCCAAGUAAUCCUUAAUUAUAACCCUGCAACCUAAAAGGACAAGAAUAUAAAGUGGGUCAAGAAGAAAUGCAUGAAUUAUAUAAGUAAAGAAAACUGAAACACAUCUCCGGGCACAAAGCAAGCUAGCUAUAAUUUACUACUAUAAAAUUCAAGAAUUUUGUACCCUAGCUUAUGCCAU
rnacentral:lncRNA from 1 species